rnacentral:rRNA from 1 species
CCUACGGGAGGCAGCAGUGGGGAAUAUUGCACAAUGGUGGAAACCCUGAUGCAGCAACGCCGCGUGAAGGAAGACGGUUUUCGGAUUGUAAACUUCUAUCAAUAGGGAAGAAAGAAAUGACGGUACCUAAAUCAUAAGCCCCGGCUAACUACGUGCCAGCAGCCGCGGUAAUACGUAGGGGGCAAGCGUUAUCCGGAAUUACUGGGUGUAAAGGGAGAGUAGGCGGCAAGGUAAGCGAUAUGUGAAAGCCUUAAGCUUAACUUAAGGAUGGCAUAACGAACUAUCUAGCUAGAGUACAGGAGAGGAAAGCGGAAUUCCUAGGGUAGCGGUGAAAGGCGUAGAUAUUAGGAAGAACACCAGUGGCGAAGGCGGCUUUCUGGACUGAAACUGACGCUGAGGCUCGAAAGCGUGGGGAGCGAACAGGAUUAGAGACCCCGGUAGUC